UUUAAAUGGCCGCAGUAUUUUGACUGUGCAAAGGUAGCAUAAUCAUUAGUUUUUUAAUUGAAAGCUUGUAUGAAUGGUUUGACAAAGUAUUUACUGUCUCAAUAAAAAUUAAAUUAGAACUUUAUUUUUUAAUUAAAAAGUUAAAAUAUAAUUGGAGGACGAGAAGACCCUAUAGAUCUUUAUAUUUUAUUGGGGUGAUAAUAAAAUUUAAAAAACUUUUAUUUUAUAAAACAUUAAUUUAUGAUUAUUUGAUCCAUUAUUUAUGAUUAAAAAUUUAAGUUACCUUAGGGAUAACAGCGUUA
rnacentral:rRNA from 1 species